UUAAGUUAAAUUAUUUAUCCGUAGACUGGAUUUAACUCUACGAUCUGAAUGUGUAGAUUGUCUUAUUUUCGACACAAGGGUGACUUCUUCAAACGUGAAUGAAAAUAGUAGUAGGCUCCUUCCUGUAGUGUAGACACGUCGGUGCUGCGUGUGACGUAGGGGAGCACGUUCACUACGCUAAUUUGCAUAAUAUUAAUUAUAGUGGUGUCACAUUUCAUAGGGAACGAUCUUCACUAUCACUUCACUCUUUACUGUGGAGGGAAGUGUUCUCGUUAAGGGGAGAGGAAUGGGACAGGGCCUAGUACUCAUCUAACGAAGCAAGGAUCAACAAUAUAAAGUCACUGAUUAAAAUACUAACAGGUAACUGUUGGAAGAGCGAAGAGUAACUUCAAUACAAGCACUAGUAACUCAAAUGGGUUUGGCUUCUGGACGCAGUGUUCAAACAGAUACAGAAUAGAUGGGAAUGAGCGCUGGUGGUGGGGAACAGGACGCUCACUUGAAGAGGCCUCCCAUGAUCAUCAUCCCCUCCCCCCUCCCCCUCUUCCUCCUCCACCACCACCACCUCCACCGCCUCCUCCUCCUCCUUCACCUCCUUGUCCCCCUCCUCCUCUUCCCCUCCCCCUCCUCUAUGAUAUGUAAACGAGCGGUUAUGGUGGGAGCAGGACGCUCCCUUGAAGAGGCCUCCCAUGACCAUCAUCUCGCCCAGGCGGGGCUCCACGGUGGGCCACGGGGCGUCCCAGAGAGGGCAGCUCGUCGUUGCUGUCCACAGCGUCCACUUCUGGGGGACCAACCCCAAGGAAACAUCAACAAUCCCCACAGUAAGUAAGAGUGGAUGACGUACACCGCGUCGUUGAGGGUGAUGCUGGUCUCUGCCAUGUUGGUGGACAGGACGACCUGCAGGAGGCAGGGAACAACAACAGGAGAUGGACAGGCAAGGGUGGAUUCCAGGCAGCUGGGCAGGCAGAGGAGCACACGGGGUGGAUGGCAGGCAGCUACGGGGUUGGUGAUCCUGGGGCGAGGACAACGCGGAGAUUUAAAGGUCCCAUGACAUGCCACCAGGUGUGGUGUGAUUAGCCGUUACAAGCCGUUUUGGAAAUCGGCCCCUUAUGACAUCACAGGUGGGCGUGUCCACCUAGAUGUGUGCUGGGUAGAUCAGUCUACCAGCCUACCCAGUGGACUGUAGCAAACGUUGCUCAUCUCUGCGUCAAGUUAUUAAAGAUAUGUGCAACUGUUUAUGAUUUGUAUUUGUUAAUAAACCAUAAAGUUACAA